rnacentral:RNase_P_RNA from 1 species
GUAAGUAUCAUAUACGAUCGCGCUAAUUAAUAAUUAGUGAGGAAAGUCCGGACUCCAUGUAGCCUCUGACAUAUUGAGGUAAGUGCCAAUGAAAAUUGGGAGGGAGUGAUCUUUCGGAGAAAAGGGCAACAGAAAGUUAUACCGCCUAAGUUUACUUAGGUAAGGGUGAAAUGGUGGUGUAAGAGACCACCGGGUAUUGCAGUAAUGUAAUAUCGCGUGGCAACCCCCCUUGGAGCAAGGCUUAGCCGCAUAGAUAGAUGAUCGUUUAAUACAGAAUCCGGCUUACUUGAUACUUACGCAU